AGCAGCCGCGGUAAUUCCAGCUCCAAUAGCGUAUAUUAAAGUUGUUGCAGUUAAAAAGCUCGUAGUUGAACUUCGGGGUCUACCCAUUGGUCAGGCUUAAUUGUCUGCACUGGUGAGAUGGAUCUCUACCUUCUGAGGAACUUUCAUGCCAUUUAUUUAGUGUGAUUGGAAAUCAGGACUGUUACUUUGAAAAAAUUAGAGUGUUUAAAGCAGACUAUCGUCUGAAUACAUUAGCAUGGAAUAAUGAAAUAGGACGGACUGAUUCUAUUUCGUUGGUUUCUAGGAUCACCGUAAUGAUUAAUAGGGAUAGUUGGGGGCAUUAGUAUUCAAUUGUCAGAGGUGAAAUUCUUGGAUUUAUUGAAGACUAACUACUGCGAAAGCAUUUGCCAAGGAUGUUUUCAUUAAUCAAGAACGAAAGUUAGGGGAUCGAAGACGAUCAGAUACCGUCGUAGUCUUAACCAUAAACUAUGCCGACUAGGGAUCGGAUGAAGUUAUUAAAAAUGACGCGUUCGGCACCUUACG
rnacentral:rRNA from 1 species